GUUAAGGGGAUUUACUUCUAGCCUCCUUGAUUUUUAUAACCGGUUGGAUGUAGAACUCUGGUCUCUGAGCAUAAAAAUUCAUCGUACCUAUUGAUUCGUAUAACGUUGUGAUGAAUAGUACUCGGUAAUGGAGGCUGAAGCAACAUUUUCUCCCAGCCAUGUAAAACUUUAGAAGGGUGAACAUGCCGAAACACGCAGCAGCAGCAGUGCCGUUCUCAUCCUCAGUGCGUCCAUUAUGAACGAUAAGAAACAUGGAAGCAGAACUAAUACAACUGGAGGAAACAAUAAUUGACUGUAGGGAAGAGCAAGAAUCUAGUAAACAGUCAACAACAGAAUAAUCUAAAAUAGAAUAUCGAAAACCACAGAAUAUCUGUGCACCACAGCAAGGAGCUCUUAGCAACCAGUGUUUCAACUCAGUUGAAGUUGACAUGUGGUGAGCAAUUAGCUGAUUACAUGAUGCCUCUCGCCAUGACACCAACUGUUUUUGAUAACUGAUAUUUGUGGUUUUUGUACAUUUUUACUUAUGACUGUACUGUAAUUGGUGUAUUUAUGGUUGUUUUUCUAUUAAAAUUAUCUUUGUAUGUCA